rnacentral:misc_RNA from 1 species
UAAUUUUGUACAAGAUAAUGAAGAUAAAAUUCUUGUUCGACAGUAUGAUACAGCAUAUCUUCCCAAUUCUUGAAUGGCUGCUUACCAUCAUUGGAUGAAGAAUAUUUUGUUCAUUCCUGUUGCUGGAAGAAGACAUUGAGAAGAAAGCUUUAUCGUCACCUAAUUAGGAUUGUUUUCGUGAUCUCUACCAAUAUGCUGGUUACUGAAUAGAAGCUUUAAACUAGAACAUGCUGGUUUUUGCUCAUACAUUUCAAAGAAUUUGAUUACUUCAUAAUGAGCUUGUCCCCAUCUUUUGUACAGAGUUACCUGUAAAAUGCUUGAAUCAAUUCAUGGAUCAGUAAAUUGGCAUUGAGAAUUC